GUCUGUUUGAUAUUAUUUACAGUCUGGCCUGCCCACUGAUUUUUUAAAGGCCGCGGUAUAAUGACCGUGCGAAGGUAGCAUAAUAAUUAGUCUUUUAAUUGAAGACUGGAAUGAAUGGUCGGACAAAAAGUAAUCUGUCUUAAAUCUAUAAAUUGAAAUUAACUUCUAAGUGAAAAGGCUUAGAUAAACUUAAAAGACGACAAGACCCUAUAAAACUUUAUAUAGUAAAUAUUAUUUUUAAUUUAUAACUUUAACAAAAAUAAUAGCAAACUAUAUUUCGUUGGGGCGACGAAAGUAUAUUUAAAUAACUGCUUUUUUUUAAAAACAAUUAUAUUUGAUAAUUAUGACCCUUUAUUAAGAUCUAAAGAAAAAGUUACUUUAGGGAUAACAGCGUUAUUUUUUUUGAGAGUCCAUAUCGACAAAAAAGUUUGCGACCUCGAUGUUGAAUUAAAGUUCCAUUAUAAUGCAGCAAUUAUAAAAGGAGGUCUGUUCGACCUUUAAAACUUUACAUGAUUUGAGUUCAAACCGGUGUGAG
rnacentral:rRNA from 1 species